CCUACGGGAGGCAACAGUGAGGAAUAUUGGUCAAUUGACGAGAGUCUGAACCAGCCAAGUAGCGUGAAGGAUGACUGCCCUAUGGGUUGUAAACUUCUUUUAUAUGGGAAUAAAAUGUUCCACGUGUGGGAUUUUGUAUGUACCAUAUGAAUAAGGAUCGGCUAACUCCGUGCCAGCAGCCGCGGUAAUACGGAGGAUCCGAGCGUUAUCCGGAUUUAUUGGGUUUAAAGGGAGCGUAGGUGGAUUGUUAAGUCAGUUGUGAAAGUUUGCGGCUCAACCGUAAAAUUGCAGUUGAAACUGGCAGUCUUGAGUACAGUAGAGGUGGGCGGAAUUCGUGGUGUAGCGGUGAAAUGCUUAGAUAUCACGAAGAACUCCGAUUGCGAAGGCAGUUCACUGGACUGCAACUGACACUGAGGCUCGAAAGUGUGGGUAUCAAACAGGAUUAGAUACCCGAGUAGUC
rnacentral:rRNA from 1 species